UACGGAGGGUGCAAGCGUUAAUCGGAAUUCCUGGGCGUAAAGCGUGCGCAGGCGGUUUGUUAAGUCCGUUGUGAAAGCCCCGAGCUCAACUUGGGAAUUGCAGUGGAUACUGGCAGGCUGGAGUACGGUAGAGGAAGGUGGAAUUCCCGGUGUAGCAGUGAAAUGCGUAGAUAUCGGGAGGAACACCUGUGGCGAAAGCGGCUCACUGGACCAUAACUGACGCUGAUGCACGAAAGCUGGGGGAGCAAACAGG
rnacentral:rRNA from 1 species